rnacentral:tRNA from 1 species
ACGUUUGUGGUACAACGGUCAGCACGGUUGCAUUUCAAGCCAUCGACUGGGGAUCGAUUCCCCCCAAACGCA